rnacentral:ncRNA from 1 species
UUCAGAAAAAGGCAAACCAGGCGAAAGCCUGGGACGCAAAAGAACGGGCCUAAGUAGACAAAACUGUCUAUAUGGCAGCCGUGUGCCAGU